rnacentral:rRNA from 1 species
GAUGAACGCUGGCGGCGUGCCUAAUACAUGCAAGUCGAGCGAACGGACGAGAAGCUUGCUUCUCUGAUGUUAGCGGCGGACGGGUGAGUAACACGUGGAUAACCUACCUAUAAGACUGGGAUAACUUCGGGAAACCGGAGCUAAUACCGGAUGAUAUUUUGAACCGCAUGGUUCAAAAGUGAAAGACGGUCUUGCUGUCACUUAUAGAUGGAUCCGCACUGCAUUAGCUAGUUGGUAAGGUAACGGCUUACCAAGGCAACGAUGCAUAGCCGACCUGAGAGGGUGAUCGGCCACACUGGAACUGAGACACGGUCCAGACUCCUACGGGAGGCAGCAGUAGGGAAUCUUCCGCAAUGGGCGAAAGCCUGACGGAGCAACGCCGCGUGAGUGAUGAAGGUCUUCGGAUCGUAAAACUCUGUUAUUAGGGAAGAACAUAUGUGCAAGUAACUGUGCACAUCUUGACGGUACCUAAUCAGAAAGCCACGGCUAACUACGUG